rnacentral:rRNA from 1 species
GACAGAGGGUGCAAACGUUGUUCGGAAUUACUGGGCGUAAAGCGCGUGUAGGCUGCUCUGCAAGUCGGAUGUGAAAGCCCUGGGCUCAACCUAGGAAGUGCACUCGAAACUGCAGAGCUUGAGUCUCGGAGAGGAUCGCGGAAUUCUCGGUGUAGAGGUGAAAUUCGUAGAUAUCGAGAGGAACACCGGUGGCGAAGUCGGCGAUCUGUACGAUGACUGACGCUGAGACGCGAAAGCGUGGGGAUCAAACAGG